AUUGAACGCUGGCGGCAGGCCUAACACAUGCAAGUCGAGCGAGCGGCGGACGGGUGAGUAAUGUCUGGGAACCUGCCUGAUGGAGGGGGAUAACUACUGGAAACGGUAGCAAAUACCGCAUACCAUCAGAUGUGUUCAGAGGUGAUUAGCUGGUAGGUGGGGUAACGGCUCACCUGGGCGACGAUCCCUAGCUGGUCUGAGAGGAUGACCAGCCACACUGGAACUGAGACACGGUCCAGACUCCUACGGGAGGCAGCAGUGGGGAAUAUUGCACAAUGGGCGCAAGCCUGAUGCAGCCAUGCCGCGUGUGUGAAGAAGGCCUUCGGGUUGUAAAGCACUUUCAGCGGGGAGGCGUUACCCGCAGAAGAAGCACCGGCUAACUCCGUGCCAGCAGCCGCGGUAAUUC
rnacentral:rRNA from 1 species